UAGGAUGGUUUUGGGAAUUCUGGGAUAGGUGGUUAGGAUGAGGCUAGGAAUUCUCAGGUAGAUGGUUAGGAUGGGGCUGGGAAUUCUGGGAUAGAUAGUUAGGAUGGUUUUGGGAAUUCUGGGAUAGAUGGUUAGGAUGAACCUGAGAGUUCUGGGGUAGAAUUUAGGAUGACACUGAGAAUCUGAGCCAGGCCAGAAAGCACAGUGUAAGUGUCACUAGUCAGGCCCCGCCUCCUCUGUCCUUUGAGGAGACCAAGACUCCAGUUGUCUCUGCUGAUCUGCAACCUAGGGGAAACUGAGGCACGGAUCUGAGACCUGGCUGUUGAGUUUGGGGUAUGUGGGUCCAGGGCGGCAUCCAGCUGACCCAUUGGCUUCCCGCAGGAUGCCCUGCACACGUUCCCACAGCUGCAAGUGGAGCAGAGUGAGGAGGGUUCCCCGGAAGAGGGGGCUGUGCGGCUGCGGCCGGCCGGGGAACCAUACAACCGCAAGACGCUCAGCAAGCUCAAGAGGAGCGUGGUCAGAGCCCAGGAGUUCAAGGUCGAGCUGGAAAAGUCGGGAUACUAUACGCUCUACCAUUCACUCCACCACUAUAAAUACCACACCUUCCUGCGCUGCCGGGACCAGACCCUGGCCAUCGAGGGCGGCGCCGAGGACCUGGGCCAGGAGGAGGUGGUCCAGCAGUGCAUGCGGAACCAGCCGUGGCUGGAACAGCUCUUUGAUUCCUUCAGUGACCUGCUGGCCCAAGCACAGGCCCACAGCCGCUGUGGGUGACCCCGCCCCAGCCUGUGAUGGGGGCGCCUCCUCCAUGAACCAAGAAUUGGGACAGAACCGUGUCCUCAGGAGCUAACCCCUGGGCUCCAUCGUCGGGGAAAGGGGGUCACGGGUCAGGGUGUGUCUAUGCUGCCCCCUCCAGGGCAGGGUUCAGAGUCCGACUCCCCCCCUCUCCCGAGCCCCCUCCACUCCCUCCCCAUUCCUCCCACUGUUCGGUGUACAGAGAAAUUAUUUAUAUAUAUGUAUAAAUGUCUAUUUAGUAACGGUUUCCCUCUCCCCUUGCCCCGACCCCUCCUCCACAGCCACAGCCCCCGCCCCCUCCACCUUGUACAUAAUGUAUAGGAAAAGUCUAUGUAUGACUGGCGGGGGUGGGGUGGCUUCAGAGAGCUGGGGGACCCCUUCCCCCCAAGUCCCCCUGCAGGCCGAGAUCUUUGCUAAAGGCCAUUCCCUCCCCAGGGCAUUUGGCGUCGGGUGGGAGGGGAAAACGCAUCUUGUUAAUUAUUUUUAAUCUUAUUUAUUGUACAUACCUGGGGCAGGGGGCUGGGGAGGUGGAGAGGGGAGAAGGGUCCCCUCUCUCUGCCCCCCCACUCCUUUUCUACGGCGAUUUGUCUGUGUCUGGCCCCCACCCGCUGCCCCCCCCAUUGUUGUCUGGAUGUGGUUCUAUUUUUUAUCGGUCUCCUUUCCCCUCCUCCCUGUUCUCGCCCCCUCCACCCCGCCCCUGCUCCCACCACCCUUUGUCUCUUGCUCUUUCUUGGGCUUCUGUACAACUCAACUUGUAUACACUGUGUACACACAACCAGCCAAACGAAAACCCAACGGCAAACACUUUACCGGCAGGCUGGAGUGCCUCUGUCCUGCGGCGCUAGGGUGGGUGGCAGUGGUGGCAGGGGCAGAGGGUCAGGAACAGGACUUUCCUAGAGCCCUGGGCAGUGGGGGGCCUGAGGCUGGCAUAUGUUCUGUGUCCUCACACAGCAAAGUAUCCCACCCUGAAAUUUAAUGACUUCAGACAACACAUACUUAUCAUUGGG
ensembl:lncRNA